AAACUUUCAACAACGGAUCUCUUGGUUCUGGCAUCGAUGAAGAACGCAGCGAAAUGCGAUAAGUAAUGUGAAUUGCAGAAUUCAGUGAAUCAUCGAAUCUUUGAACGCACAUUGCGCCCCUUGGUAUUCCGGGGGGCAUGCCUGUUCGAGCG
rnacentral:rRNA from 2 species